UAACAUUAAGUUUGUUCAACGACUGCCAUCAGCGACCGCAUGCGGUCGCUAAUGUUUAAUGAUGUGAACGCAUCAGCGACUGCCUAGUGAUCGCUGAUAGAGAUUGGUCGCACAAAACAAACGCGCCAACGUUUUGCACCAAUUUUUGGUAGGGAAAUUCAUUAUCUUAGUCAUAAUAUUCUUUAAUGGGCUAGUUGAGCUCACCCUUUUCUUUCAUUGUUCUCUUCAGGAAAUGAGAAUAUAGCUGGGUCUAGUCGGGAAUGGAGUGAUGGUCCAAGAUGGUGGCUAUAGUAGUCCUCACUAUUCUAUAAAAUAGUGCGAUAAUAAUUAUAAUGAGGACUUCAUUUGAGUUUUGAUAUUGUCUACGAGAUAAUAUUUGUAUUAAAACUCACAACUUACGUUUUGUCGUAUUUUACACGACAGUUGAUAAUUGUAAGACCCCAACUUUCAUAAAUAAAGAUUAAUUUUUCUCGAAUUAUAUUUUUGAAUAUUAAGGUGUGAAUUUGUUAUAAUGUUAUAGUUGUUGGUAAUAUUUAUAAAUUUUGCAAAGUAAGCAAGUUGUUAUAAAAUAUUCAUUUGGUCGGGGAAUAUUCAUACGACGACACAAUUAUUGGUGGACCCCACAACAGAAUUAUUGUCGGAGUUAGAAAACGACAAAAUUAUCUUUUUAUAAAAUAACGGUGAUAGUUUUAUCGUUAACUGUUGAAAUACC
rnacentral:lncRNA from 1 species